UCCAAAUAUGGAUUGUGAUAGAUGAAAACUGUAGUUUGGAAAGUUACGAAUCGAACAAAAUUGACGGAUCAUUAAUCAGAGUUAUAGAUUUCAUUUUAUUUAAGUUUUGGUAAAGGACUCCAAAACUGCAUAUGUGCAAAAGUAAACUGCCAAAAAUUUUCCGGAGGCUGUUUCGGUAAUUUCUUUUGUGAGAAAAAUUCCGGACUUUUGGGAAAUGAAAAUAUGUGGUAUUAUGUAGCUCGUGUCCAAAAAUGAGCUAAUUCCGAGUUAAAACGGCCAAGUUAUGACUAUUCUAAUUUUUGUGAUUUUCCGACGGAAAUCGCUAUAACCGGAGUUCUACAACUCCGAUUGCCACGAAAUUUAAAAUGGAGCAUCACGUUAACAUAUAUAAGGUUAUGUCAAAAGAUGGGCAUCUCUGGAGUUAAGCACGAGGUAGCUAAUUUUCUUAAGUCACGCACUAUUUAUGAUUUUUGAAAAAUAGUAAAAGAAAUUGAAAAAUUAUGGAAAAAUAUUUUUUAUGUAUGAAAUACAUGUAUAUAUGUUUGACCAAAGGAUAAAAAAAUAAUAAGUUGAUUUGGUAUUUUUCGUGAAAAAGAAUAGUGAUUUCGGGAUACUGAAAUAAAAUCCGUCUUACUGAAAUGGUAUUUCGGUUUACUAAGAUGUUAUCUAAUUUACUAGGAUAACAUAUAAAAAUG
rnacentral:lncRNA from 1 species